ensembl:lncRNA
AUUACAGUUAAUUGAGAAUCCAAAUAUGUAUUCAGUGAAGGGAAUAAAAGAAGAAAAAGACGAUUCCCUGUGAUCACGUGGAGUAAAUCUGUGAGUGGGCUUUCUCACAGCUGCUGUGUCAGUACGCCAGAACUGACAAGCUGAACAAAAACACAGAAUUACUAUAGUUGGGCUACAUAUCUUCAGAUCAGGUAAAAGAUCCUGUGCUAUAUGAAAGGCCUCUACUAACCAGAGAUUCUCUGGAUGAUAACAGCAACAUACUCAAAUCACAAUACAAGCGCAAAUUACCAGAGUGUAGCGAUUACAAUAUACAGUGGAUUCACACUACUGGUGUAAUUCCCUAUAACAUGCUCAUCAUCAUGAUGCUGAGCACCCUCUGCUGCUGGAAAGGAGUAAUGUGGUUGAAUCCAGGUCAAGUCUGCUGCUCUGUUGAAAGUUCUUUUUUGUCUGUCAGAAUUACUAUUUUGGUUAACGAAACAGCCAACAGUUGUACAAAUGGUUGACCCCUUCAGCUGAUAAGGCCAGUUGAUCACGUCUGCCAGUAAAGCUGACUGAUGCACUCAAAUAAUGCAGCCAUUUAUCUAGAAGAAAAAACAAUGCACCCGUCCCCCUUGUGUUAAAUUUGUCUUUCUUUGUGACACCCAUGAUCAUUCCCUACAUUUCUCCUUGAGCUUCAUGAGCAUGUUACCCUUCCUAUCUCCUCUGAGCCUUCUGCUAUUGCAGCAUUUCAUAGAUCAGCCACAACAAGACAGGGCCUGGAAAAUGCUGAUAGGGUUAGAAACAUACAGACUGCCUAUUGUAUCAAGUCAUUUUCUGCAAUAUGAAACCUACCUACACUGAAAACUAGUCAGUCACUUGCUAAAUAAAUUACUGUUUUGGAAAAAAAAAAAAAAAAAAAAAAAAAGGUGAGUUGAAUGUGAAGAACAAAGCUUGGACCUGAGGAGAUGACAGAAAUCACUGAGGGACACUGUGUCACGGAUCUUCAUCCAGAUAUUGCUUAGACAUUGAUUAGCAAGGUUCUACAGCACAGCGGGGACCACCAAGGAACCCAGAGAGUGACACAGCACAGGCUGUCUGUACUUCCACUGGCCAGGAAGAGAUGCAAGGCCCUUGAAAGUUGUGCUGAUAUGAAAGUUACCAACAAAGUACUGGGAAGUAGAAGAAUGAAGAUGUUAGCUGCAACUGCAGAAAAAAUAUGCCUUCCAAAACGAAUCUUUGUGGAAUCGGUGACUAAGGAACAGGCUGGAAGUCUGAUCAGAAAAAUUCUUUACUAACAGAAGGGAGACAAGAGGUAUAGGCAGCUCUCCUCUGAUUUUUAUAGUUAUGUUCCUAUGGUUCUGUUCAAUACAUUCAUACCACAUGUCACUGUACUAUGCAUGAGCUCAGAAACGACAAAACCAGGUGUGUCUAAUUCCACAAAGCACAUCAGACUUCCAUUAACAACAUUUUUGCAGGACUUCAAAAUCCAGUUUACCUGAACAGAUUACAGAGGAAUGAACAAAACACAUGAUUUUAUGUAAAAGUGUGUUUUUUUCCCCUUCAUCUCCCCUAUAUGUUUAGAAAAAUUGCUUUAUGUUAUUUGUCAAAUAAAAUAAAAUAGGAGGUAAAUCCUGCAAAUU